ACGCUCGACACCUACGGGAGGCAGCAGUUGGGAAUAUUGGACAAUGGAGGAAACUCUGAUCCAGUGACGCCGCGUGAAGGAAGAAGGUCUUCGGAUUGUAAACUUAUUUUGUCAGGGAAGAAAAAUGACUGUACCUGAAGAAAAAGCACCGGCUAACUACGUGCCAGCAGCCGGGUAAUCUGAGCGGGCUGGCAAGGC
rnacentral:rRNA from 1 species